AUGGGGCUCGCGCCGCCGGAGCUGGGGCAGUUCGACGGGUGGGAGAGCUCUGGCGAGGAGGAGCGGGAGAGGUGGGGAUGGUGCCGCCGCAGCCGCAGCAGCAGCAGCAGCAGGCGCGGCCGCCGCCUGCCACGGAAGGGCGGCGAGGAGGACGCCGGCGUCGCCACCGGGUGCUGCAUCCGGCUGUGGCCCAUGGGCAACUGCCCGCCGCAGCCGCGCUCCAAGGUCGACACCUCCACCAGCAGCGCCAGCACGCACGGCGCAGAAAAGUCAGCAGAAAAUGGUAGCAGGAACCAACCUGUUGUGUCAGUAGUCUCAGGCUCGACAUCUACUAGUAAUGCUGAGAGCAGUUCAUCAGCAUCUAAAGCUGCAGAGGAAAUAAAGGUUUCCUCUAAAUUACGCAAGUUUGGAUUCAGUGAUCUAAAAUGCGCCACACGGAACUUCAGACCCGAGAGUCUUCUCGGUGAAGGGGGUUUUGGAUGUGUGUUUAAAGGGUGGAUCGAAGAGAAUGGGACUGCGCCUGUGAAACCUGGUACAGGUCUUACAGUUGCUGUCAAGACGCUCAAUCAUGAUGGUCUUCAAGGGCACAAAGAAUGGGUGGCAGAAGUUGACUUCCUUGGUAACCUUCACCAUCCCAAUUUGGUCAAAUUAAUUGGAUAUUGUGUUGAAGAUGACCAAAGAUUGCUGGUAUAUGAAUUUAUGCCGCGUGGAAGUUUGGAUAAUCAUCUGUUCAGAAGGUCUCUUCCUCUCCCAUGGUCCAUCAGAAUGAAAGUUGCUCUUGGGGCAGCACAGGGUCUUUCCUUCCUUCAUGAAGAAGCAGAAAGACCAGUCAUUUAUCGUGAUUUUAAAACAUCUAAUAUACUGCUAGAUUCGGAAUACAAUGCAAAGCUCUCAGAUUUUGGGCUUGCCAAAGAUGGUCCUGUAGGUGACAAAACUCAUGUGUCUACUCGAGUAAUGGGAACCUAUGGUUAUGCAGCUCCAGAGUAUGUCAUGACAGGUCAUUUGACAUCAAAGAGUGACGUCUAUAGCUUCGGUGUGGUGCUGCUUGAGAUGAUGUCAGGACGAAGGUCAAUGGACAAGAACCGCCCAAACGGCGAGCACAACCUUGUGGAGGGGGCCCGCCCAAACGGCGAGCACAACCUUGUGGAGUGGGCGCGCCCCCUCCUAGGAGAGAGACAGCGUUUCUACAAGCUAGUCGACCCUCGGCUGGAGGGCAAUUUCUCGGUCAAAGGUGCCCAGAAGGCAGCACAAUUGGCACGCGCAUGUCUGAGCCGGGACCCCAAAGCCCGGCCGCUGAUGAGCCAAGUGGUUGAAGCUCUCAAGCCACUGCUGAACCUCAAGGACAUGGCCAGCUCCUCCUACUUCUACCAGACGAUGCAAGCGGAGAGGAUGGCACAUUCGAGCAGCAUGAACGGCAGGAACAGCCAUAGCCUCAAGGUGCAUGGGUCUUUUGCCCGCGCAAGCGCAAACGGGCACCAGUCGAUGAGGAGCAUGUCUGAUGGCCCCCGCGCGUCCCCGUUUCGCUACUCACCAAAGCCGAACGUGAAAUAA
rnacentral:rRNA from 1 species